UGCAGCUGCUUGACAGCUGUACUUGACAAAAAAGAAGUCGGAGAUGCAGAACAUCAUGACUGGCUCGCAUUGAGAGGAAGCUCCUCUUUUAGUCGUUCCUGUUGAGAUGUCCUGAUGCAGUAAGAUGUACAAGUGCAUCAUCUCCAGAAUCAAUAGCCUGAUGGACGAGGAGAGGAAGAAAAGCAAAGCCACCACCCAGCUCUUCAACCUCCUGCCUUGCGCUGUCAAUCCGGGAGAAGAAUCCCUUGGCCUGGUAUAGAAAUUUGUGCUAGGAAGAGAUGAAUUUCACUGUUAUUCCUCUGACAGUAGUGAUGAUGAAAUGGAGCUAAGCAAGGAGCAGAGUGUGGGCAGGAGUCUGGCAUGACUGCAGAUGACAAAGAGUAGCAGUAGAUGCACAGGAUGUCCCUCCAGAGAGGAAGGAGAAGAGGUCAGAAAUGAUGAAGCAAUUCCUCCAAACUGCUCUUCACAUGGAUAAUAAAUGUCAAAGAACGAUGAAGUAUCAGGAGACAUGGAAAAGGAAAUGGACAAGAUACUAAAUACUUGGAAAAGCAACAACAGCAACAAGAACAACAAAAAAAAUGCUGACCUGGAAGCCACCAAGUCAAGCUGUUUACAAAGUAUUUGAAAGAGGGAUCUACUGACUCAUCGUGGAUACUAUGGCAGGCUGCUUUUUACAUGCCACUUUUCUGACAAAUGCCUUCAGACUUUGGAUGUUUCCCAGUGGGAGGGGAAGAGAGAGUGUGUGAUGCUAAAAGAAAGGCCUACGCCUAUUCAAUGAGCCUGUUCUCCUCCUGGAACUUCUCCACACUUCAAGUGUCUGAACUUUGCUGCCAACUGAUUUCCUUAAGAAAGCUCAUGCCUGCCUCCUGUCUUUCCUCAAAGGAGAAUUUACUACCAAGUCAUUGAGAACACAGGUAUCAACUCUGUUGCAAAAGUAGUUGAGCUAGAAAGCUGAUGGCAUGAACACACUCCAGCAUCUGUAGUUAUUAGCAAAGUAAGGAGCUCCAUAGCUACCAGUCAUGUCAGACAACACUAUUUCCUUUGCUUGAAUGGCCAGGUCUUCAGAUAUGUCUGGGUCAGCUGAGGACAAUGUUUUGACAGGUUGCUGAAAAAGAUUUGAUCUUGCCAUAUAGUCAAUCAUGACCCACUCAGUGGGAGAAAUUUUAUAAUUUGUUAAGCACAUAAGUGCAUUCACAGCAAAGUCUUUCCAUUAAUAAUCAGAC
ensembl:lncRNA